CGGCGGACGGGUGAGUAACGCGUGGGUAACCUGCCUCAUACAGGGGAUAACAGUUAGAAAUGACUGCUAAUACCGCAUAAGACCACAGCACCGCAUGGUGCGGGGGUAAAAACUCCGGUGGUAUGAGAUGGACCCGCGUCUGAUUAGCUAGUUGGUAAGGUAACGGCUUACCAAGGCGACGAUCAGUAGCCGACCUGAGAGGGUGACCGGCCACAUUGGGACUGAGACACGGCCCAA
rnacentral:rRNA from 1 species